rnacentral:rRNA from 1 species
GACGAACGCUGGCGGCGUGCCUAAUACAUGCAAGUAGAACGCAGUUGCGAACGGGUGAGUUACGCGUAGGUAACUGGCUAGUAGCCGGGGAUAACUAUUGGAAACGAUAGCUAAUACCGCAUACUACCAGAUGGACCUUCGUUGGAUUACCUAGUGGGUGAGGUAAAGGGUAACCAAGUCAAAGAUACAUAACCGACCUGGGGGGGGGGACGGCCACACUGGGACUGAGACACGGGCCAGACUCCUACGGGAGGGAGCAGUAGGGGAACUUCGUAAAUGGGGGGAACCCUUACUGAGCAAAGCCGCGGUAGUGAAGGAGGUUUUCGGGUCGUAAAGCUAUUUUAUUAAGGAAGCGGUACUAAACCAGAAAGCGACGGCUAACUACGUGCCAGCAGCCGCGGUAAUUC